GAGAAAGACAGGUGUUACAAGAACUGCUAAUUACUUGGUACCGUAGCUCAACUCCACGGCUUACUC
rnacentral:tRNA from 1 species